rnacentral:lncRNA from 1 species
UUAUAAAUAGAACUCUAAGCAGAGUGGGGCCAUCAGGGCUUUGUCCAGGGCACUGAAUUCAAGGUGCUCUGGAUAGAAAGGGCAUGAGCAGGAAUGGGAGUUCAGAAGGUGAGUUACUUUCCUAUUGUCUCCUUCCCUAGGGUCUGCCCAAUGGUAACCUGGUACCAUCUUCUUCCUCUGCCCUGCUCCUCUUCAUCACCCCACCUCUUCAGCAUGGUCUCUGCUCCAGUUUCUACUUAGGUUGUCUUUUGUGACAUUUGAUACCUACUUGAGUUUGUUAUGAAGCCAAGAAUUCCUAGUCAUAGCUGUGGUUCUGAAAUUCUCUAAGGAAACCAAAAAUGUUCAGGGAGGGCCAAAAAUGCUGACCUUCAAAAGGAACUUUCUCCUAAGGCUCAUUGAGUAUUCAAGUCAGCUUCACCUUGGAAAUCUCUCUCUUUAAAGACUCAGUUGAUGCUUUACAUGAAACCACUCAGAUUUGGAUAAGGAAGACAAAAAAAAUCAACCCACCUGCUGCCACAUGUCAAGCAAUCUGAAGUGGGGUUGGCCUUUUUCAUCUUCUCUCAAAGAUGGAAGCCAGAAGUACUCAAAGUGACUUGACUUGAAGCUCGAUGCUUCCCAGAGGAGAAUGGCCUUGAAGGAUCUCAAAAGAAGACUGGUGAAGGGAAAGAAGUUGCUAUGGCAGAAAGCCGUGGAAAGAUUUUCUUCAGUGGUACUUUCAGAGAUGUGGCAACCAGGGCAGAGAUGGAGGUGGGAAGUCAAGUCAAGGCAAUACCAGGGAUAUAAAGAAUUUUCACAGGUAAAGGACCAAAGGCUGUGAUGCCCUACAGCUCAGAAGAGCUCUGGAACUGUUUCUAGGUACUUUUCCUCCAUUAUAGACAAAUUCUGCUAUGUGGCAGGCAGAAGACUUGACCAUUGCUUGAGAAUUAAAGAAGACCUUAAAG